GUUAUGUGUGCAUUUAAACAGGAUUGUGAGAAAUUGCUUCUAUUUGAAACCAGCCCCCUGUGGUCGUUCGAGGAACUGCAAGAUUUACUUCAAACUCAAGAACGAGUAAAGAAAUGCUUCAAAGACUAAACCAACAUUUUUUAUUAGCAAUAAAUCCAGCAGCAUAGUAAGAAAUAUGAAGGAGGACGUGGAGGAGAAGAGUUUAGAGUCUUUGAUGCAGACGUGGAGGAUCACAGGGCAGAGAGAGAGAGGGCUGAGCGGAGGACAACAGUGAUGAUUAAGUGAAGGGGAGGAGGAGGAGCGCUCCGAUGGCCUUGGGGGAGCUGGUUUGAGGAGCCUCCGAGUGCAGAUCAGCUGUCUGCAGUCAUGAGCCCGCACCAUGACAUCAUCUGCCCCGUAAAGAGAAGCAGCGACCCCAGCUCUGGCUUUACAGUGAGGGCUAUUGUGAAAGUCCUGCACAACGAGAGCUGCGUCCGUCCUGUAUGUCUGUGAGAGGACUUCUGCAAACAAUCCCUCCUUUGCUGAGACAGGCUAUGCAACAUGAAAUUAGACUCCAUGAAAAGGCCUGGUCCCUGCAUUGCUCACUCAUCUAACUUUUUAAAAGCCCACGCAUGAGGUCAGCUGAGUGAAAGCAGCCGUUUCAGAGCAGCAGUCUUUUUCCUGCCGUUUAAAAAAAAUAUGAAAAAGGCUGCAGGCUGUGUUUUUACUCUUCAAAAUAGGUUUCAUUCGAUGCUUUUAAUUAGAUUCAUUUCUAAUGUCAAAGUUCACUGAACAAUAUGCAUCAAUUGGCUCCAGAAUUACCUUAAUUUAGCAUCUACUUAAGAUUUUUUUCAUAGCUGUAAAUAAAUUCACAGGUCAAAAGGGAAAGACGUGAGAUAAUCAUUAUAAAAAGACUUGUUUUCCUAUAUUUUUUGUGGUGGGAGGAUUAUUUUUCCAGCAGUUUUGAAGCAACAACAGCGUUUUCCACUUGUAAACACUGGUGAAAUGUUUAUUACAAACAUUUCCUGCAUUCUGGACUCAAACUAAAGGGCAGGAAUGGAAAAUCUGGGUUUAUCAGGCACUCGCAAAGUAAGAUUUGCACCAAAAGGGAAGAGAACACAAUUACCUGCAAAUGAGUAGAAACUAGUUUCUGUAUGUUCUGCAUUCUUCUUCUGUGUUUAACCCUAGAGCACUAUCGCUGGUGAUUUUCACCCCAGCAAAAGUAUUGAAGUAUGAUCUUCAAUAUGUUGCUUUUUUCUGAAUGUCAUGGGGCCCUGGAUGAAGUCUCACAUGUCCCAGGAAUGGGUAGACCAAAGCCAAAGUCACCAGAAUCAUUUUAUUUUGUAGGAUUUUUUCUGUCCUAAUUUUUCAGUAAUUUUCGAGCAUGUUUUUUGGAUCUUCCUAUGUUUUUAUUUUCCAUUUUGUUACAUAAACUAUGGUUGAAAAUAAAAGAAUGUCAUAUGUUGAUAUAUUUUCAAUUACAAAUACUAUUUAUUGGGCAUAUUAGAUCAGUUACAAAGGAUCUGGUAAAAGUUGUGCAUUUUUUUUUCAUAGUUUUCUAGGGUCAAAGGGCUCGAGUUUGUGCCAAGUUUUUACAUUUGGCUGUCAAAAUUAUUUUAAAGUCCCUCUCCAAUCAUUUUUUGAUCUAUUUUCAAAUAUUUCCCACUGGUCUUAUUAGGAUUUAAGGCAAUUUAAGCCAAAAAAGAAAAAAAAAAAA